UAAUACUGGAUAGGCAAUUUUCCUGUAAUGGUUUUUUGUUUAAAUGUUUUUUCGCCUAAGGAUGGGUCUGCGGCCGAUUAGGUAGUUGGUUAGGUAAUGGCUUACCAAGCCGUUGAUCGGUACGGGUUGUGAGAGCAAGAGCCCGGAGAUGGAACCUGAGACAAGGUUCCAGGCCCUACGGGGUGCAGCAGGCGCGAAACCUCCGCAAUGUGAGAAAUCGCGACGGGGGGAUCCCAAGUGCCAUUCUUAACGGGAUGGCUUUUCAUUAGUGUAAAGAGCUUUUGGAAUAAGGGCUGGGCAAGACCGGUGCCAGCCGCCGCGGUAACACCGGCAGCUCUAGUGGUAGCAGUUUUUAUUGGGCCUAAAGCGUCCGUAGCCGGUUUAAUAAGUCUCUGGUGAAAUCCUGUAGCUUAACUGUGGGAAUUGCUGGAGAUACUAUUAGACUUGAGACCGGGAGAGGUUAGAGGUACUCCCAGGGUAGAGGUGAAAUUCUGUAAUCCUGGGAGGACCGCCUGUUGCGAAGGCGUCUAACUGGAACGGUUCUGACGGUGAGGGACGAAAGUUAGGGGCGCGAACCGGAUUAGAUACCCGGGUAGUCCUAACUGUAAACGAUGCGGACUUGGUGUUG
rnacentral:rRNA from 1 species